GCCUGUUUUUCCUUAGCUUUAACCUUUUGGUAGUUUCAUCGUCAAAUCGCCGAUUAGGGUUUCUUCAAACAAAUCGUAACACCGUCGUCCUGUCUCCGCCAUGAGAGCCAAGUGGAAGAAGAAGCGUAUGAGAAGGUUGAAGAGGAAGAGACGAAAGAUGAGACAGAGAUCCAAGUAGAGCCUGAGAACUGCUUCGCUUUCCUCCUGUUCCCUCAGUUUUUGUCCGACUGAAUUCGCGGUUUCUCCGUUUCGAUCUGUCUGAACUUAUUUUCUAGUUUUCUGGGCUAUAUUUCUGUUGGAUAAUCUUGAUCAUUAAUUUAUGCUCGUCCUUCGUUCCGCCUUCCCAAUC